rnacentral:rRNA from 1 species
AUACGGAGGGUGCGAGCGUUAAUCGGAAUUACUGGGCGUAAAGCGUGCGUAGGCGGUUUGCUAAGUCAGAUGUGAAAGCCCCGGGCUUAACCUGGGAACUGCAUUUGAUACUGGCAGACUAGAGUAUGAUAGAGGGGGGUAGAAUUCCUGGUGUAGCGGUGAAAUGCGUAGAUAUCCGGAGGAAUACCAGUGGCGAAGGCGGCCCCCUGGAUCAAUACUGACGCUGAGGUACGAAAGCGUGGGGAGCGAACAGGAUUAGAUACCCUAGUAGUCC